UAUAUAUAUAUAUAGGGUCCGGCUACUAUACUAUUAUGAGUACGAUCGCUCUCGUACUCAUAAAUCGUCUUCGAUGAUAGAGCUUUCGAAUCAAUGAUUCAUACCGUUAAACAUUAUUUACGGUAUUUAAAAUUUCUAGAAAUCAAAUUUUAUAAUUUUUUGAAAUCAUUUAUCUUACAAUUAAGAGGUCACAAAUUUAACAAUUUUUAAUGGCCGGUAUGGGAUACUUGCUAGUUUAAUGGUGUAAAAGAAUCGAAAUUUGUUGAAUUUUUGAUAGAAAAUUCUAUUCACUACCUAGAUAAAAAUCAAUAACUUCGAUCUUGAGUUGAAGGAUCCGAUCAUCCAUUCUAAGUCGUUCGAUUUUGACCGUUCAUUUUAUGCCCGCUUGAUGGACUUUAUUAUGAUUUCGAAAAUUUACGAAAUUUAUUUUCUAGAAGUUUCAAAUAUUCUAGAUCAUAUUUAAUGGAGUGGAUCGUCGAUUCGGAAGCUCCAUCAUUGAAAAUAACUUAUGAGUACUAGGAUUCCAAUACUCAUAAUAGUAUAGUAGCCAUGGCCUAUAUAAGUAUAUAUAUAUAAAGCAAGGCUACUGUGCUAUUAGGAGCACAGUAGGCCUUAUGCUCCUAACUUUCUAACCACCCAUCAAAUUUGAUGGAUGGUUAGAAUAAGAUAAGGAAUUAGAGAUAUUGGGAAGAGAUAAAUGUAUACUUGAAAUAACUAGGAACGUAAAAGGGGUAUUUUUAAUAUUAACUUUCUAAGAGGAAUAAAUUAGAAAAUCGAAAACUUUUCAGCAGUAUAAAGGCAAUUGCCCCUAUUUAAUAUAAAAUGAUUUAAAAUUUUAAUUUGAAUCCUUGCUCUUCCGAAAUAAAAUUUUAGUAUCCUCUUUUUAUUAAUCAGCUAAAAGAUGAUAAGAUUAAAAAAAAUUGUUUUAAAAAAAAAGCUAAAUUGAUAAUUUUUAUUUUAAAUAAGAUUAAAGUAUAGAAUU
rnacentral:lncRNA from 1 species